rnacentral:rRNA from 1 species
UAGGGAAUCUUCCACAAUGGACGAAAGUCUGAUGGAGCAACGCCGCGUGAGUGAAGAAGGUUUUCGGAUCGUAAAACUCUGUUGUUGAAGAAGAACAUGCAUGAGAGUAACUGUUCAUGUAUUGACGGUAUUCAACCAGAAAGCCACGGCUAACUACGUGCCAGCAGCCGCGGUAAUACGUAGGUGGCAAGCGUUGUCCGGAUUUAUUGGGCGUAAAGCGAGUGCAGGCGGUUUAUUAAGUCUGAUGUGAAAGCCCUCGGCUCAACCGAGGAAUUGCAUCGGAAACUGGUAAACUUGAGUGCAGAAGAGGAGAGUGGAACUCCAUGUGUAGCGGUGGAAUGCGUAGAUAUAUGGAAGAACACCAGUGGCGAAGGCGGCUCUCUGGUCUGUAACUGACGCUGAGGCUCGAAAGUGUGGGUAGCAAACA